rnacentral:rRNA from 1 species
GACGAACGCUGGCGGCGUGCUUAACACAUGCAAGUCGAACGAAGUGGCGAACGGGUGAGUAACGCGUAAUCCACCUGCCCUUCAGUGGGGGACAACAGUUGGAACCGACUCCUAAUACCGCAUACUGAAGGAGGGGAUUGCGGCUGAUUAGCUAGUUGGAGGGGUAACGGGCCAACAAGGCGAUGAUCAGGAGCCGGUCUUGGGAGAUGGACGGCCACAUUGGGACUGGAGACCGGGCCAAGCUCCCACGGGGGGCAGCAGUGGGGGAACUUUCGAAAUGGGGGAAAGUCCGGCGGAAGCACGCCGCGGGGGUGAUGACGGGCUUCGGGUUGUAAAACUCUGUUAAGCAGGACGCGGUACCGGAAUAGAAAGCAACGGCUAACUACGUGCCAGCAGCCGCGGUAAUUC